GACGAACGCUGGCGGCGUGCUUAACACAUGCAAGUCGAGCGGUAAGGCCCUUUCGGGGGGUACACGAGCGGCGAACGGGUGAGUAACACGUGAGUAAUCUGCCCUUCACUCAGGGAUAACUUCCGGAAACGGUGGCUAAUACCUGAUAUGACUCUUGCCUGCAUGGGUGGGGGUGGAAAGUUUUGGUCGGUGGAGGAUGUGCUCGCGGCCUAUCAGCUUGAUGGUGGGGUAAUGGCCACCAUGGCUUCGACGGGUAGCCGGCCUGAGAGGGUGACCGGCCACACUGGGACUGAGACACGGCCCAGACUCCUACGGGAGGCAGCAGUGGGGAAUAUUGGACAAUGGGCGAAAG
rnacentral:rRNA from 1 species